AAUGAACGCUGGCGGCGUGCCUAACACAUGCAAGUCGAGCGAACACAUCAGGAGUUUUCUCCCCUGAGUUUGUCGCCCGUCGGAUGCGUCACUCGUGGAUAACCUACCUCUAAGACUGGGAUAAUAUCGCGAAACCAUAUCUACUACCCGAUAAUAUAUCGAACUUCAUUGUUCAAUAGUUAAAUUCGCUUUUUCUUACACUUAUAGACUGAUCCGCGCCGCAUCAGUUAGUUGGUAAGGUAACGGCUUACCAAGGCAACGAUGCGUAGCCGACCUGAGAGGGUGAACGGCAAGACUGGAACUGAGAAACGGUACAGACUCCUAGGGGAGGCAGCAGUAGGGAAUCUUCCGCAAUGGGCGAAAGCCUGACGGAGCAAAGCCGCGUGAGUGAUGAAGGUCUUCGGAUGGUAAAACUCUGUUAUUAGGGAAGAACAAAUGUGUAAGUAACUAGGCACGUCUUGACGGUACCUAAAGAAAAAGCCACGGCUAACUACGUG
rnacentral:rRNA from 1 species